UACCAGCACCCCGAGUGGUCGGGACGAUUAUUGGGCCUAAAGCAUCCGUAGCCGGUCAUGCAAGUCUUCCGUUAAAUCCAGCCGCUCAACGGUUGGGCUGCGGAGGAUACUACGUGGCUAGGAGGCGGGAGAGGCAAGCGGUACUCAGUGGGUAGGGGUAAAAUCCUUUGAUCCAUUGAAGACCACCAGUGGCGAAGGCGGCUUGCUAGAACGCGCUCGACGGUGAGGGAUGAAAGCUGGGGGAGCAAACCGG
rnacentral:rRNA from 1 species